rnacentral:lncRNA from 1 species
GUAAAGAGCAAGAGCCCUUUGGAUAACAUAAAUAGCAUUAUUGUACUUGGUCUUCAGCCGUCGAUCAUCGCUUUCUCUUAUUGCUUUAUCAAUCUCCAUCGGUGGCUAUGUAUCUGCUGAACCCUUCUGAAUCAAAACCAAAAGCAUUAAUUAAAAAAAAAAAUCACCAACCUGCUGGAAAGUCAUUUUGUAUUCGAUUGAAUUGCAUACAUACAAAUAUGUAAGUUCAAGAAAAAAAGUCUAUGAUAUGUUAUAACAAUGGGAUUCACCAGUCUGCUUGCUCUUCAAUGAAAAAUUAACUGAUAAAUAGAAAAUCGGUAUAAGUGAAGACUCAAUCUUCAAAAAUCAAAUGAAAUCAAGAAAGAGAUUAUUACUUGUUGGGGGCUUUAACGACAAUGGAAUUCACCUUGGAUUGAAGGAAAACGAAAAUGGCAAAUUCAAGAACAAGAAAAUAUAUGGGAAUUUAUGACCCUUUUACGAUUUUUAGUCUGAAAUGACUGGAGAAUGAAAAUUUUCACUUUAUGCUAUUAUGCUAAAGGGCUCAAGUUUCAAGAAAAAAAGUCUAUGAUAUGUUAUAACAAUGGGAUUCAC